rnacentral:rRNA from 1 species
UGGAUCCAGACUUUGAUUCUGGCUCAGGAUGAACGCUGGCGGCGUGCCUAACACAUGCAAGUCGAGCGAGAAGUCCAGAAAUGAAACUUCGGUAGAUUUUCGGGAUGGAUAGCGGCGGACGGGUGAGUAACGCGUAGGUAACCUGCCUCAUGCAGAGGGAUAGCCUCGGGAAACUGGGAUUAAUACCUCAUAAAGCGGAGAGGACACAUGUCUUUUUCGCCAAAGAUUAAUCGGCAUGAGAUGGACCUGCGUCUGAUUAGUUAGUCGGUGGGGUAACGGCCUACCAAGGCGACGAUCAGUAGCCGACCUGAGAGGGUAAUCGGCCACAUUGGAACUGAGACACGGUCCAAACUCCUACGGGAGGCAGCAGUGGGGAAUAUUGCACAAUGGGCGCAAGCCUGAUGCAGCAACGCCGCGUGAGCGAGGAAGGCCUUCGGGUCGUAAAGCUCUGUCCUAGGGGAAGAAGAAGUGACGGUACCCAAGGAGGAAGCCCCGGCUAACUACGUGCCAGCAGCCGCGGUAAUACGUAGGGGGCGAGCGUUAUCCGGAAUUAUUGGGCGUAAAGAGUACGUAGGUGGUUUUGUAAGAGCGGGGUGAAAGGCAGUGGCUUAACCAUUGUUAGCCUUGCUAACUGCAAGACUUGAGUGCAGGAGAGGGAAGCGGAAUUCCUAGUGUAGCGGUGAAAUGCGUAGAUAUUAGGAGGAACACCAGUGGCGAAGGCGGCUUUCUGGACUGUAACUGACACUGAGGUACGAAAGCGUGGGGAGCAAACAGGAUUAGAUACCCUGGUAGUCCACGCCGUAAACGAUGAGCACUAGGUGUCGGGACCGCAAGGUUUCGGUGCCGGAGUUAACGCAUUAAGUGCUCCGCCUGGGGAGUACGCACGCAAGUGUGCAACUCAAAGGAAUUGACGGA